GGCUGAAUUUUCUGCGCCAUGGCC
rnacentral:miRNA from 1 species